GGUUAUGAGAAUCAUCUGUAAAUAGAGAGGGUCUCUACCUAUAGAUGAGAAAAGAGAAUAGAAUAGCAAACAAAUCAAAUUAAGAGAAGAGAAAAAGAUAGAGAGAUAGGCAUGUGAAGAGAGAGAUCCUUCAUCUUCUACAUCUCUUCCUUUGUUGCUGCCUCCUCUCCUUGGGCAUGGAUCCUUUUUGGACAUUCUAUCUGCUGG
rnacentral:lncRNA from 1 species